AACUACUCUCUUUAAGUAACCAGUGUUUUGAAAACAUAGAAGAAGUGUUCAAACCACUUAGUAGUUU
rnacentral:tRNA from 1 species